ensembl:snRNA U6 U6 spliceosomal RNA
UCGCUUCAGCAGCACAUAUACCAAAUUUGGAACGAUACGGAGAAGAUUAGCAUGGCCACUGUGCAAGGAUGACAUGCAAAUUUGUGAAGCGUUCAAUAUUAAA